rnacentral:misc_RNA from 1 species
UCCGUGUUCACCACGGCAGUCUCCUUAGAGAGCCCAACUGAAUGCUGGCAACUAAGGACAAGGGUUGCGCUCGUUGCGGGACUUAACCCAACAUGUCACCACACGAGCUGACGACAGCCAUGCAGCACCUGUCAUCCUGCUGUAUUGCUACAGAAACCGUAUCUCUACGGCUGUCAGGAGAUGUCAAACCCAGGUAAGGUUCUUCGCGUUGCUUCGAAUUAAACCACAUGAUCCACCGCUUGUGCGGGCCCCCGUCAAUUCCUUUGAGUUUUAAUCUUGCGACCGUACUCCCCAGGCGGAGAGCUUAACACUUUCGCUACGACCGAAAAGCUGUGCAGCCCUCCGGUCCAGUGCUCACCGUUUACGGCUAGGACUAC